GACGAACGCUGGCGGCGUGCUUAACACAUGCAAGUCGAACGGUGAAGCCCGAUCUUGCUGGAGUGGAUCAGGUGCGAACGGGUGAGUAACACUUGAGCAACCUGUCCCUCACUCUGGGAUAUGCUCUUGAAGCGGCGUCUAAUACUGGAUACGAUAAGUGGCCGCAUGGUCAGCUUCUGUAAGGUUAGCUGGUUGGUGAUGGGCUCGCGGCCUAUCGGCUUGUUGGUUAGGUGAUGGCUAAGCAUGACGAGGACGGGUGGCCGUCCUGCGCGGGCGACCGGCCACACCGGGCCUGAGCUACGGCACAGCCUCCUCUCGUACGGAGCAGUGCAGUAUAUUGCACUAUGGGCGAGAGCCUGAUGCAGUGCAGCCGCGUGAGGUAUGACGGCCUUCGGGUUGUAAUCCUAUUUCAGCUGGGAAGAAGCGAUAGUGACGGUACCUGGAGAAGAAGCACCGGCUAACUACGUG
rnacentral:rRNA from 1 species